GAUGAAGAACGUAGCGAAAUGCGAUACUUGGUGUGAAUUGCAGAAUCCCGUGAACCAUCGAGUCUUUGAACGCAAGUUGCGCUCGAAGCCAUCAGGUUGAGGGCACGUCUGCCUGGGCGUCACAUAUCGUUGCCCAAUGCCUAUUGCAGUGCAAUAGGAAUUUCUAGGGCGAAUGAUGGCUUCCCGUGAGCGUUGUUGCCUCGCGGUUGGUUGAAAAUCGAGUCCUUGGUAGGGUGUGCCAUGGUAGAUGGUGGUCGAGUUAGAACGAUACCGAUCAUGUGCAUGCUCCCCAAAAUAUGGCCUCUAUGACCCACACGCGUCUUUUGACGCUCAUGACGAGACCUCAGGUCAGGCGGGGCUACCCGCUGAAUUUAAGCAUAUCAAUAAGCGGAGGA
rnacentral:misc_RNA from 1 species